rnacentral:rRNA from 1 species
GACGAACGCUGGCGGCGUGCUUAACACAUGCAAGUCGAACGGAAAGGCCCUGCUUGCAGGGUGCUCGAGUGGCGAACGGGUGAGUAACACGUGGGUGAUCUGCCCCUUACUUUGGGAUAAGCCUGGGAAACUGGGUCUAAUACUGGAUAGGACCAUGCUGUAGGUGGUGUGGUGGAAAGAUUUUUUCGGUAAGGGAUGAGCUCGCGGCCUAUCAGCUUGUUGGUGGGGUAAUGGCCUACCAAGGCGUCGACGGGUAGCCGGCCUGAGAGGGUGGACGGCCACAUUGGGACUGAGAUACGGCCCAGACGCCUACGGGAGGCAGCAGUGGGGAAUAUUGCACAAUGGGCGCAAGCCUGAUGCAGCGACGCCGCGUGGGGGAUGACGGCCUUCGGGUUGUAAACUCCUUUCAGCCAUGACGAAGCCUCUUUUGGGGUGACGGUAGUGGUAGAAGAAGCACCGGCUAACUACGUG